GACGAAGGGGGCUAGCGUUGUUCGGAAUUACUGGGCGUAAAGCGCGUGUAGGCGGUUGCCCAAGUCGGGUGUGAAAGCCUUGAGCUUAACUCAAGAAAUGCACUCGGUACUGGGUGACUAGAGGACCGGAGAGGAUAGUGGAAUUCCCAGUGUAGUGGUGAAAUACGUAGAGAUUGGGAAGAACACCAGUGGCGAAGGCGGCUAUCUGGACGGUUUCUGACGCUAAGACGCGAAAGCGUGGGGAGCAAACAGG
rnacentral:rRNA from 1 species